AUUGAACGCUGGCGGCAUGCCUUACACAUGCAAGUCGAACGGCAGCGCGGGCUUCGGCCUGGCGGCGAGUGGCGAACGGGUGAGUAACAUAUCGGAACGUGCCCUGGAGUGGGGGAUAACUAGUCGAAAGAUUAGCUAAUACCGCAUACGAUCUACGGAGGAAAGUGGGGGCCGCAAGGCCUCACGCUCGUGGAGCGGCCGAUAUCUGAUUAGCUAGUUGGNGGGGUAAAGCCUACCAAGGCCACGAUCAGUAGCUGGUCUGAGAGGACGACCAGCCACACUGGGACUGAGACACGGCCCAGACUCCUACGGGAGGCAGCAGUGGGGAAUUUUGGACAAUGGGCGCAAGCCUGAUCCAGCAAUGCCGCGUGAGUGAAGAAGGCCUCGGUUGUAAGU
rnacentral:rRNA from 1 species